GCUAGCCACGCAGGAGGAGGAGGGAAUAAUAAGGUACUUUUGACAGUGUAUUUAUGACAAGGAAAGGGACAGUACCAGGACCAGUGUGUGGGUUUUACACUGACAUCAGUUACAUGUGUGAGUGGAGGAGGCUCUGUGAUCAUGGAGAGAUCUGAGGGGUAAAGGUGUCUUUGAUACACAAUCACUGAGGGCUGCUGCCUCAAGGCUCAAGACCUCAGCACCAGGAUGGCAGAAUGAACAACCCCUCUGAAGGAGUUAGCUAAGUGAGCUAAACAGUGGUGAAGACAGGCUUACGGUAGCCUUAUUAAGUAGCUCCAAUGCAAUCUUGAGUAGGCUGUAGUAUUUGUGAGAGAUAAAAGCCAUCAACUCUAAGUGUAAUGUUAGCCCCUUCUUUAGAGAAGACAUGUAUGACUUUAAGUGGUGUUUCUAUGACCAAUUUUCUGCAGUUGUGUCUCGUCACCUAACCAUAUCCUGUAUGUGUUACCUCCAGAGACGGCUUCAUAUGGUGGAGGCAUGUCCAUAUGAGAGAAGGAUGCUGCCGGGGGGCGAGGGGUGGAAGGCUCGCCGACUGACUCCUCAUCCUGAACCCCAUACCAACUGGGCCAGAUAGACGUCUGGGGGAUGGGGGGGGGGAGAGAGAAAGAGAAAAGGAAUUAAUACCACACACACGCACACUUUCAUUCUCAACUGGAGUGUGAUGAUAAACACAAGCUAAACAGAAGCAAAAGCUCACUAGCGGCCAAAAGACAGAAUCUUCACCCUGCAUCUCCCCGUCUCUCUCCCCCUCCGUCCGUCUCAAGCAGCGCCCUAAAUGGCUCACUAUUCCCGAUAUAGUGCACAACUUUUGACCAGAGCCAUAUGGGGCCCAGCCAAAAGUAACCCACUUUAUAGGGUAUAGGGUGCUAUUUGGGACGCACCCUGUCUCUGGUCUCCCCCUGGCAUGUCUCCAGAGCCCUUCGGGGAGGCUGCUGCCUGCCUGCUGGAGUUAUGGAUGGCUUGGGGGCCUCCUUGCUGAACAUUCCAUUACAAUCUAAACAGGGAGUAUCAUGCUUUAGACUAGAAGACUGAAAGAGGAGACGGGGUGGCAAACAGAAAAGAGAAGGAGGUUGAGGUGAGCCAGAGAGGGGUACUAAAGCAGUGAGGCAGUAAAGGCUUGGAAUGGAGAGCAACAGAUCAUUCAAGCUGGCUCACUGGGGUGGCUGAAAAGGACCAGGUGGAAUCCCAGGGUUUAGAACACUCAGCUUUACCUGGGUUCUGUUCCGAGCACAGCUACAUUCUGCCUGACAUUCUAAUUCGUACAUUCUACUUAGGUAUGUUAACGGUUAACUGUUAAUGGACGAAAAUGAUAUAAUGCUUAUUGGUCUAUAGGUUAAUUUGCAUCAUUUAUUGGAAUUAAAAUUGGCACGUGUAUUUUU